AGCAGCCUACAUGAACAGAACAUGGAAUGGAUUAAUGAUGAUUAUAUGGAUGUUCAACAGCAGGCGUCAAAUGUUCAGAUUAUCCAGCAACCCAUUUCUCAGCCCACCACCAUCCUCCAGCACCUGCCCUUCUCCAUGGCCCCUCCUCCACCUGCGCUGCGGCCCGGCCAUGUCAGAGAAGAUCUGGUUGAGUUGAUGAUGAUUCAGAAUGCCCAGAUGCAUCAGGUCAUCAUGAACAAUAUGACCAUGUCAGCGCUCAGCAGCUUUGGCUACUCAAACAGUCCAUCACCAGAGACAGUACAAUAUCCACGGCCUGUGGAGGAAGAAGACCCAGAGGUGUACCACCACCACUACCCCCCUUCUCCCUACCACACUUACCCAGCCUGGAUGCCUUUUUCUCAGCCAUACAUCCAGCCCCUGGCCUCUGUCCUUCCAGCUAACUAUGAGUCCCAGGAGAGCAGGGAGCAGAUACAGCCUCCAUCUGAACCCAGAGACAGGAGAGCUGUUCCUCCCCCUCCUCCCCCCAGUGCAACAGGGACUGUUGGAGCAGACAUCCCACCUGCAACAGAGUAUUAUGAUGCCACUGAGAGGAGACAGUGACAGGCGGGACUGUUGACACGACCGAGACGCAGCACUCUUAGCUGCAGGAGCAGUGGGAAUAUGUAUAGCAGACAUAUCUCUAACUACUCCCACUGAGCAGGACCACUAGGACCCUUGAAGGACUGACAAAAAAAACCCCAUCAUCUAUCUGUAUAUUUUUCACUAUUGGAUUAUCUGAAACAAAUGUAUUUCAGAUGUGCUUUGUCCAGUGAUUGUCCAGGAGAGGUCAGUGUGACAUUCCCUGUCCCUUCCAUCUGUCUAAUUGUGUUGGCAAAAGAUCCAGUGGCAACAAGGAAGGAUCUAGAAAACGUUUUGAGAGAAUUGUGUGUGUGUGUGUGUGUAUGGGUUUGGUGUGCUUGCGUGAUGAAAAGGUAUGGUGCAGGUCAACGUGUCUCAGCAUAUGUGUGUGCAUAACUCUGAAUUUGAGUCCAUUUAUUUAUGCUUUGUCUAUCCUGUGUAUGUGUGUGUGUGACAUUCCUGUUGCCAUGACCUGAAUAACUUGCUUAUGUAAUGUGCUAUGAGAGGUUAGGUGGCACAAUGCAAGAAUGAUGU